CCUACGGGAGGCAGCAGUGGUGGAUAUUGCACAAUGGGGGAAACCCUGAUGCAGCGACGCCGCGUGGGUGAAGAAGUAUUUCGGUAUGUAAAGCCCUAUCAGCAGGGAAGAAAGAAGACGGUACCUGACUAAGAAGCCCCGACUAACGACGUGCCAGCAGCCGCGGUAAUACGUAGGGGGCGAGCGUUAUCCGGAUUCACUGGGUGUAAGGGGAACGUAGACGGCCGUGCAAGCCAGGAGUGAACGGCCGGGGCCCAACCCCGGGACUGCACCUGGGACUGGGCGGCUGGAGUGCGGGAGGGGCAGGGGGAAUUCCUGGUGUAGCGGUGAAAUGCGUAGAUAUCAGGAGGAACACCGGCGGCGAAGGCGGCCUGCUGGACCGAGACUGACGUUGAGGCUCGAAAGCGUGGGGAGCGAACAGGAUUAGAUACCCCAGUAGUC
rnacentral:rRNA from 1 species